UACGUAGGGUGCAAGCGUUAAUCGGAAUACUGGGCGUAAAGCGUGCGCAGGCGGUGAUGUAAGACAGCUGUGAAAUCCCCGGGCUCAACCUGGGAACUGCAUCUGUGACUGCAUCGCUGGAGUGCGGCAGAGGGGGAUGGAAUUCCGCGCGUAGCAGUGAAAUGCGUAGAUAUGCGGAGGAACACCGAUGGCGAAGGCAAUCCCCUGGACCUGUACUGACGCUCAUGCA
rnacentral:rRNA from 1 species